GACGAACGCUGGCGGCGUGCUUAACACAUGCAAGUCGAACGGAAAGGCCCUGCUUUUGUGGGGUGCUCGAGUGGCGAACGGGUGAGUAACACGUGAGUAACCUGCCCUUGACUUUGUGAUAACUUCAGGAAACUGGGGCUAAUACCGGAUAGGAGCUCCUGCUGCAUGGUGGGGGUUGGAAAGUUUCGGCGGUUGGGGAUGGACUCGCGGCUUACCAGCUUCUUGGUGGGGUAGUGGCUUACCAAGGCUUUGACGGGUAGCCGGCCUGUGAGGGUGACCCGGCACCAUGGGACUGAGGGAGGGACCAGAAUGCAACCGGACGCAACGGGGGGGAAUAUUGCACAAUGGGCGGAAGCCUGAUGCAGCAACGCCGCGUGCGGAAUGACGUCCUUCGGGUUGUAAACCGCUUUCGCCUGUGACGAAGCGUGAGUGACGGUAAUGGGUAAAGAAGCACCGGCUAACUACGUG
rnacentral:rRNA from 1 species